AACGAACGCUGGCGGUGUGCUUAACACAUACAAGUCGAACGAGAACGUUUCCUUCGGGAAGCUAGUAAAGUGGCGCAAGGGUGAGCAACACGUGAAUAAUCUGCCCUCGAGAUCGGGAUAACCUGGCGAAAGCUAGGCUAAUACCGGAUAAGACCACGUUUCAUAAGAAACGCGGAAAAAGGAGUCUCAACCUUCACUCGAGGAUGAGUUCGCGGACCAUUAGCUUGUUGGUAAGAUAAAAGCUUACCAAGGCUACGAUGGAUAGCCGGCCUGAGAGGGUGAUCGGCCACACUGGAACUGAGACACGGUCCAGACUCCUACGGGAGGCAGCAGUGGGGAAUAUUGCGCAAUGGGCGGAAGCCUGACGCAGCAACACCGUGUGAGCGAUG
rnacentral:rRNA from 1 species